GGUUAAGCGACUAAGCGUACACGGUGGAUGCCCUGGCAGUCAGAGGCGAUGAAGGACGUGCUAAUCUGCGAAAAGCGUCGGUAAGGUGAUAUGAACCGUUACAGCCGGCGAUGUCCGAAUGGGGAAACCCAGUGUGAUUCGUCACACUAUCGUUAACUGAAUACAUAGGUUAACGAGGCGAACCGGGGGAACUGAAACAUCUAAGUACCCCGAGGAAAAGAAAUCAACCGAGAUUCCCCCAGUAGCGGCGAGCGAACGGGGAGCAGCCCAGAGUCUGAAUCAGCUUGUGUGUUAGUGGAACGGUCUGGAAAGUCCGACGGUACAGGGUGAUAGUCCCGUACACCAAAAUGCACAGGUUGUGAACUCGAAGAGUAGGGCGGGACACGUGGUAUCCUGUCUGAAUAUGGGGGGACCAUCCUCCAAGGCUAAAUACUCCUGACUGACCGAUAGUGAACCAGUACCGUGAGGGAAAGGCGAAAAGAACCCCGGCGAGGGGAGUGAAAAAGAACCUGAAACCGUGUACGUACAAGCAGUGGGAGCACCUUCGGGUGUGACUGCGUACCUUUUGUAUAAUGGGUCAGCGACUUAUAUUCUGUAGCAAGGUUAACCGUAUAGGGGAGCCGCAGGGAAACCGAGUCUUAACUGGGCGUUAAGUUGCAGGGUAUAGACCCGAAACCCGGUGAUCUAGCCAUGGGCAGGUUGAAGGUUGGGUAACACUAACUGGAGGACCGAACCGACUAAUGUUGAAAAAUUAGCGGAUGACUUGUGGCUGGGGGUGAAAGGCCAAUCAAACCGGGAGAUAGCUGGUUCUCCCCGAAAGCUAUUUAGGUAGCGCCUCGUGAACUCAUCUUCGGGGGUAGAGCACUGUUUCGGCUAGGGGGUCAUCCCGACUUACCAACCCGAUGCAAACUACGAAUACCGAAGAAUGUUAUCACGGGAGACACACGGCGGGUGCUAACGUCCGUCGUGAAGAGGGAAACAACCCAGACCGCCAGCUAAGGUCCCAAAGUCAUGGUUAAGUGGGAAACGAUGUGGGAAGGCACAGACAGCCAGGAUGUUGGCUUAGAAGCAGCCAUCAUUUAAAGAAAGCGUAAUAGCUCACUGGUCGAGUCGGCCUGCGCGGAAGAUGUAACGGGGCUAAACCAUGCACCGAAGCUGCGGCAGCGACACUAUGUGUUGUUGGGUAGGGGAGCGUUCUGUAAGCCUGCGAAGGUGACCUGUGAGGGUUGCUGGAGGUAUCAGAAGUGCGAAUGCUGACAUAAGUAACGAUAAAGCGGGUGAAAAGCCCGCUCGCCGGAAGACCAAGGGUUCCUGUCCAACGUUAAUCGGGGCAGGGUGAGUCGACCCCUAAGGCGAGGCCGAAAGGCGUAGUCGAUGGGAAACAGGUUAAUAUUCCUGUACUUGGUGUUACUGCGAAGGGGGGACGGAGAAGGCUAUGUUAGCCGGGCGACGGUUGUCCCGGUUUAAGCAUGUAGGCUGAUUAUCCAGGCAAAUCCGGAUAAUCAAGGCUGAGGUGUGAUGACGAGGCACUACGGUGCUGAAGUAACAAAUGCCCUGCUUCCAGGAAAAGCCUCUAAGCAUCAGGUAACAUCAAAUCGUACCCCAAACCGACACAGGUGGUCAGGUAGAGAAUACCAAGGCGCUUGAGAGAACUCGGGUGAAGGAACUAGGCAAAAUGGUGCCGUAACUUCGGGAGAAGGCACGCUGGUGUGUAGGUGAAGUCCCUGCGGAUGGAGCUGAGACCAGUCGAAGAUACCAGCUGGCUGCAACUGUUUAUUAAAAACACAGCACUGUGCAAACACGAAAGUGGACGUAUACGGUGUGACGCCUGCCCGGUGCCGGAAGGUUAAUUGAUGGGGUUAUCCGUAAGGAGAAGCUCUUGAUCGAAGCCCCGGUAAACGGCGGCCGUAACUAUAACGGUCCUAAGGUAGCGAAAUUCCUUGUCGGGUAAGUUCCGACCUGCACGAAUGGCGUAAUGAUGGCCAGGCUGUCUCCACCCGAGACUCAGUGAAAUUGAACUCGCUGUGAAGAUGCAGUGUACCCGCGGCAAGACGGAAAGACCCCGUGAACCUUUACUAUAGCUUGACACUGAACAUUGAGCCUUGAUGUGUAGGAUAGGUGGGAGGCUUUGAAGCGUGGACGCCAGUCUGCGUGGAGCCAACCUUGAAAUACCACCCUUUAAUGUUUGAUGUUCUAACGUUGGCCCCUUACCGGGGUUGCGGACAGUGUCUGGUGGGUAGUUUGACUGGGGCGGUCUCCUCCCAAAGCGUAACGGAGGAGCACGAAGGUUAGCUAAUCCUGGUCGGACAUCAGGAGGUUAGUGCAAUGGCAUAAGCUAGCUUGACUGCGAGCGUGACGGCGCGAGCAGGUGCGAAAGCAGGUCAUAGUGAUCCGGUGGUUCUGAAUGGAAGGGCCAUCGCUCAACGGAUAAAAGGUACUCCGGGGAUAACAGGCUGAUACCGCCCAAGAGUUCAUAUCGACGGCGGUGUUUGGCACCUCGAUGUCGGCUCAUCACAUCCUGGGGCUGAAGUAGGUCCCAAGGGUAUGGCUGUUCGCCAUUUAAAGUGGUACGCGAGCUGGGUUUAGAACGUCGUGAGACAGUUCGGUCCCUAUCUGCCGUGGGCGCUGGAGAAUUGAGGGGGGCUGCUCCUAGUACGAGAGGACCGGAGUGGACGCAUCACUGGUGUUCGGGUUGUCAUGCCAAUGGCACUGCCCGGUAGCUAAAUGCGGAAGAGAUAAGUGCUGAAAGCAUCUAAGCACGAAACUUGCCCCGAGAUGAGUUCUCCCUGAGACUAUAAGUCUCCUGAAGGAACGUUGAAGACGAUGACGUUGAUAGGCCGGGUGUGUAAGCGCAGCGAUGCGUUGAGCUAACCGGUACUAAUGAACCGUGAGGCUUAACCUU
rnacentral:rRNA from 1 species